UCGGGAAUUUUGGGCAAUGGGCGAAAGCCUGACCCAGCAACGCCGCGUGAAGGAUGAAGUAUUUCGGUAUGUAAACUUCGAAAGAAUAGGAAGAAUAAAUGACGGUACUAUUUAUAAGGUCCGGCUAACUACGUGCCAGCAGCCGCGGUAAUACGUAGGGACCAAGCGUUGUUCGGAUUUACUGGGCGUAAAGGGCGCGUAGGCGGCAAUUCAAGUCAUCUGUGAAAUCUCCGGGCUUAACUCGGAACGGUCAGAUGAUACUGCUUUGCUAGAGUGCAGAAGGGGCAAUCGGAAUUCUUGGUGUAGCGGUGAAAUGCGUAGAUAUCAAGAGGAACACCUGAGGUGAAGACGGGUUGCUGGGCUGACACUGACG
rnacentral:rRNA from 1 species